CGGGGCGUAGCGCAGCCUGGUAGCGCGCUUGCAUGGGGUGUAAGAGGUCGAAGGUUCGAAUCCUUCCGUCCCGACCA
rnacentral:tRNA from 2 species